rnacentral:rRNA from 1 species
AAACGUAGGUGGCAAGCGUUGUCCGGAAUUACUGGGUGUAAAGGGAGCGCAGGCGGACCGGCAAGUUGGAAGUGAAAACUAUGGGCUCAACCCAUAAACUGCUUUCAAAACUGCUGGCCUUGAGUAGUGCAGAGGUAGGCGGAAUUCCCGGUGUAGCGGUGGAAUGCGUAGAUAUCGGGAGGAACACCAGUGGCGAAGGCGGCCUACUGGGCACCAACUGACGCUGAGGCUCGAAAGUGUGGGUAGC